rnacentral:rRNA from 1 species
AUGAGGCCCGGAGCCGAGUUCGUCGCCAUGAGCCACCGCGCGGGGGCGCCGAUGGUGGCGCCGGCGCACGGGCUGAUCAACGGGACGGCGCCGCACUCGCCAUGGCAGUCGCCUGUGCCGUACCUGUUCGGCGGCCUGGCGGCGAUGCUGGGGCUCAUCGCCUUGGCGCUGCUCAUCCUGGCGUGCUCCUACUGGAAGCUCUCCGGGUACCUCGACGGCGACCGGGACGGCCAGGAGUCGGGGGGCGACGGGGAGAAGGCCUCGGCGUCCGGCGCGUCCAAGCCGGCCCUGGAUUUCCAGGAGCACGUCGUGGUCAUCAUGGCCGGCGACGACCGGCCCACGUUCCUCGCCAAGCCGGCCACUAGCCGGGCAGCCGAGGUAGAGCUCGCAGCGGCGGCGGCAGCAAGCGCGAGCGCCGUCGACGAAAAGGAGAAGAAGAUGGACGAGCAGGGCUGCGAGGUGAGCUCGCAGCUCGGAGGCGACCCCGCCGACGCGGCGAGCGGGAGCAGCGGCCACCACCAUGACCAUGAGAGCAGCAGCACGACGGGGCGGCAAGAAAGCUUGCAAUGA